rnacentral:rRNA from 1 species
AACGAACGCUGGCGGCAUGCCUAACACAUGCAAGUCGAACGAUUGCCUUCGGGUGAUAGUGGCGCACGGGUGCGUAACGCGUGGGAAUCUGCCCUUAGGUUCGGAAUAACAGCUGGAAACGGCUGCUAAUACCGGAUGAUAUCGCGAGAUCAAAGAUUUAUCGCCUGAGGAUGAGCCCGCGUUGGAUUAGGUAGUUGGUGGGGUAAAGGCCUACCAAGCCGACGAUCCAUAGCUGGUCUGAGAGGAUGAUCAGCCACACUGGGACUGAGACACGGCCCAGACUCCUACGGGAGGCAGCAGUGGGGAAUAUUGGACAAUGGGCGCAAGCCUGAUCCAGCAAUGCCGCGUGAGUGAUGAAGGCCCUAGGGUUGUAAAGCUCUUUUACCCGGGAAGAUAAUGACUGUACCGGGAGAAUAAGCCCCGGCUCACUCCGUG